AAGAGAUUACGUUAAACUUUAGACGAUUUGUCUUCAAAACAAACAGUGUUUUAUAAAACAUCUUUUG
rnacentral:tRNA from 1 species